rnacentral:rRNA from 1 species
GAUGAACGCUGGCGGCGUGCCUAAUACAUGCAAGUCGAGCGAACAGACGAGGAGCUUGCUCCUCUGACGUUAGCGGCGGACGGGUGAGUAACACGUGGAUAACCUACCUAUAAGACUGGGAUAACUUCGGGAAACCGGAGCUAAUACCGGAUAAUAUAUUGAACCGCAUGGUUCAAUAGUGAAAGACGGUUUUGCUGUCACGUAUAGAUGGAUCCGCGCCGCAUUAGCUAGUUGGUAAGGUAACGGCUUACCAAGGCAACGAUGCGUAGCCGACCUGAGAGGGGGGUCGGCCACACGGGAGCUGAGACGGGGUCCAGACGCCUGCGGGAGGCAGCAGUCGGGAACCGGCCGCAGUGGGCGAGAGCUUGACGGAGCAACGCGGCGUGAGUUAUGAAGAUGUUCGGAGCGUAAAACUCUGUUAUUAGUGAAGAACAAAUGUGUAAGUAACUGUGCACGUCUUGACGGUACCGAAUCAGAAAGCCACGGCUAACUACGUG